rnacentral:misc_RNA from 1 species
UCCGGCUUAGAACCGGCAGUUCUGUUAAAGUGCCCAGCCCAACCUGAUGGCAACUAACAGUAAGGGUUGCGCUCGUUGCGGGACUUAACCCAACAUCUCACGACACGAGCUGACGACAGCCAUGCAGCACCUGUGCAAACCCAGCCGAACUGAGCCUAUGAUCUCUCAUAGGUGUAAUUUGCAUGUCAAGAGCGGGUAAGGUUCUGCGCGUUGCUUCGAAUUAAACCACAUAAUCCACCGCUUGUGCGGGUCCCCGUCAAUUCCUUUGAGUUUUAAUCUUGCGACCGUACUCCCCAGGCGGAAUGUUUAUCGCGUUAGCUUCGACAUCGAAUCCUAAGACCCAACACCUAACAUUCAUCGUUUACGGCGUGGACUAC